rnacentral:rRNA from 1 species
UACGUAGGUGGCAAGCGUUGUCCGGAUUUACUGGGCGUAAAGGGCGUGCAGGCGGUUUGUUAAGUGCAGGGAGAAAGCUCCCGGCUCAACUUGGAGAGGUCCUUGCAUACUGGCGAACUCGAGGGAGGCAGAGGAAAGUGGAAUUCCCGGUGUAGUGUUGAUAUGCGUAGAUAUCGGGAGGAACACCUGUGGCGAAGGCGGCUUUCUGUGCCUUACCUGACGCUGAGACGCGAAAGCGUUGGGAGCGAACCGG